rnacentral:miRNA from 14 species
GUGGCGGCGGCGGCGGCGGCGGCGGCGGCGGCGGCGGCGGCGGCGGC